GAACACGGUAAUUAUUUAAAAAAUUACAUUUUUAUAGGUACCCUGAAGGUAAAAAUUGUGAAAAAUCACGUAAUGGACAAUGGCAGAGCAAGUCUUAUCACAGUUAACGAACACUAUGAGUACCUAAUGAGUUUUUGCAGUAAAUAAUUUUGCCAAAGUUGUGAUCCCGCGAAAGUUCUGUUUGUAAAUUGUAAGGAAUCGUCAAAAUAUUGGUGCAGACAUGGUUUGUGACCGGUGCUUUUCUCUUGAAAAAACACAACUGAAAGCCUUGAUCUUCAUCCCUACAAUAGAUAUCUGAAACAUGCCAGAUCUGCAUAACAGGAAUGUCAAAGAGGUUCUACCCAAAACACGCCCACAUGGCCAUCCUAAUAUCAAGAUUUUUCAAAAUUUCUAUAACAAAAAAAGAUGAAAAAAUCAAUAAAAUUUCAGGAGCAUAGUGUUAAGAGUUCUGUAGAUGAUUAUGAGAUCUCUUGAAACAACAGAAUGUUUAAUAAAGAUUUUUAACUUUCCUAAUAGUAAAAUUACAAUUAUUACUAAACAGUAAGUUGAAGUAAGUUUUAAAUUAAGAGAAUGCAACUAACACCGAAAGAAAAAUGAAAGUUACUGAAAAUAAAAAACUUUAUUGCAGUACCUACAUACACUUUCUACAUCUAAUUUUGUUUAUUGAUCACAUUCAUUUACUUGAAAAAGUAUCAGGCCUAUGAAUCGUCGUCUGGAAACAGCUAACCACACACCAACCUUCAUUGCGUGUGAUGGUGUUUCUUCAAAAGCGUGAGUAUUUUCUAUACACCAAAUUCUGAAGUUCUGUCAGUUGACAUAAUAGCCUAACAGAUGAAACCAGGCUUCAUCAGAAAAGAACGACAAAUCGAGAAUCCCGUUAUCGUCCAUAUCAGCUUGAAACCAACUACAAUACCCAACGCGGCAAGGAAAAUCAGCUGGUUGCAGCUCCUGAACCAACAAAAUCUUGUAUGGAUGCAUAUGUAACUUCUCUUUUACGAUUUUCUGACAUGGGCUGUAUGGUACUCCGGACAGUAAAGAUUUUUGACAAA